CCUACGGGGGGCAGCAGUGAGGAAUAUUGGUCAAUGGGCUCGAGCCUGAACCAGCCAAGUAGCGUGAAGGAUGACUGCCCUACGGGUUGUAAACUUCUUUUAUAAAGGAAUAAAGUGAGGCACUUGUGCCUUUUUGUAUGUACUUUAUGAAUACUGAUCGGCUAACUCCGUGCCAGCAGCCGCGGUAAUACGGGGGGUCCUAGCGUUAUCCGGAGUUAUUGGGUUUAAAGGGUGCGUAGAUGGGUUGUUAAGUCAGUUGUGAAAGUGUGCGGCUCAACCGUAAAAUUGCAAUUGAUACUGGCAGUCUUGAGUGCAGGUGAGGUAGGAGGAAUUCGUGGUGUAGCGGUGAAAUGCGUAGAUAUUACGAAGAACUCCGAUUGCGAAGGCAGCUUACUAAACUGACACUGACAUUGAUGCUCGAAAGUGUGGGGAUCAAACAGGAUUAGAUACCCUUGUAGUC
rnacentral:rRNA from 1 species